rnacentral:rRNA from 1 species
GAUGAACGCUGGCGGCGUGCCUAAUACAUGCAAGUCGAGCGAACAGAUAAGGAGCUUGCUCCUUUGACGUUAGCGGCGGACGGGUGAGUAACACGUGGGUAACCUACCUAUAAGACUGGAAUAACUCCGGGAAACCGGGGCUAAUGCAGGAUAACAUGUUGAACCGCAUGGUUCUACAGUGAAAGGCGGCUUUGCUGUCACUUAUAGAUGGACCCGCGCCGUAUUAGCUAGUUGGUGAGGUAACGGCUCACCAAGGCAACGAUACGUAGCCGACCUGAGAGGGUGAUCGGCCACACUGGAACUGAGACACGGUCCAGACUCCUACGGGAGGCAGCAGUAGGGAAUCUUCCGCAAUGGGCGAAAGCCUGACGGAGCAACGCCGCGUGAGUGAUGAAGGUCUUCGGAUCGUAAAACUCGGUUAUUAGGGAAGAACAAAUGCGUAAGUAACUGUGCGCGUCUUGACGGUACCUAAUCAGAAAGCCACGGCUAACUACGUGC